rnacentral:rRNA from 1 species
AUUGAACGCUGGCGGCAGGCCUAACACAUGCAAGUCGAACGAGUGGCGGACGGGUGAGUAAUGUCUGGGAAACUGCCUGAUGGAGGGGGAUAACUACUGGAAACGGUAGAUAAUACCGCAUACCAUCGGAUGUGCCCAGAUGGGAUUAGCUAGUAGGUGGGGUAAAGGCUUACCUAGGCGACGAUCCCUAGCUGGUCUGAGAGGAUGACCAGCCACACUGGAACGGUGACACGGUCCAGACUCCUACGGGAGGCAGCAGUGGGGAAUAGUGCACAAUGGGGUCAAGCCUGAUGCAGCCAUGCCGCGUGUAUGAAGAAGGCCUGCGGAUUGUAAAGUACUUUUAGCGGGUAGGCGUUACCCGCAGAGGAAGCACCGGCUAACUCCGUGCCAGCAGCCGCGGUAAUUC